UACGUAGGGGGCAAGCGUUGUCCGGAUUUACUGGGCGUAAAGAGCGCGCAGGCGGUCGGAUAAGUCGCGUGUGAAAGCCCCCGGCUCAACUGGGGAGGGUCACGCGAUACUGUUCGACUCGAAGGCAGGAGAGGGAAGUGGAAUUCCCGGUGUAGUGGUGAAAUGCGUAGAUAUCGGGAGGAACACCAGUGGCGAAGGCGACUUCCUGGCCUGUUCUUGACGCUGAGGCGCGAAAGCUAGGGUAGCAAACGGG
rnacentral:rRNA from 1 species